GUUACUUCCAAGAAAAACUAUUCAGGAUUUCCAAGUAAUGAAGAAUCAAGCUAGUUUGUAAUCUCCUCAAAGAAAGAAACAUUUUCAUUUCUACAUGACCAGCAGCUAUCACAGGGGCUAGCACACAGCUCUGGAUUUUCAAGAUUGAAAAAAAUACUAUUUGUCAAAGCCAGCC